UCCAGGACACCCUUUACCCCCACUCCAAUCGCCAAUUCUACCGCGAAUGUGACAUCAGCGAACCAUAGACUUCAUUUUUGGUAAUGCCGCGGUUGUUUUCCAGAACUGCAACAUUCGGCCCCGACAGCCGCUUCCCAAUCAGUUUGUAACCAUUACAGCUCAGGGAAAGAAGGAUCCCAAUCAGAACACAGGCAUUACCAUUCAGAACUGUGUCAUGUCUCCGCUGGACAAAACUCACAGCUCCACUUACCUGGGCAGGCCCUGGAAGCCUUAUUCCACUACCGUAAUCUUGCAAACCAACAUAGGUGCCUUCCUAGCCCCAAAAGGUUGGAUUGAAUGGGUCUUCAAUGUGGAGCCACCCAGCACCAUUUUCUACGGCGAGUACCAAAACACAGGUCCCGGAUCCAGCGUCGCGCAAAGGGUGAAGUGGGCUGGUUUUAACCCGAGUCUCACAGCGACUCAAGCUUCCAAGUAUACCGUAAAAUCAUUUAUAGCCGGCCAAAGUUGGAUACCGGCAUCUGCUGUGACCUUUACGUAAAUCUCCUACACUACCCCUUUCCAAUAAAAGAGCCUCUCCUCCUUGCUUUACCACUCCAAACGGCCGACUAGUAUAGGAACAGCUUCCAACUGCUGCAUAUAGCAAUUGCACCCCCGUACGUACAUUUUUAAUGUUUUGCAGAGUUCCGUGGCUUCUACUAACAUUCUUGGUUUGUAUACAUUUAGUUCGUCUACUGGUUAUCCAUAUUACUGCUUACUAGCACUAGCACCUUAUUGCGAGUCCCCUGUCGAGAUGUUUGUAAACCACAGAGAUUGUCUGGUGUUUUGCUUGUUGGGCGAAUUGUCAGAUGAUGCAUCAAUUUUCUGAAUGAAAAAGGCAAAACUUGAGAUCAUCCUUUAUUGGGCUUGAAUGGUCUGGUGACCUCGCUAAUGCUUUUUCGGAAAUGCCUUGUCCAGCUACAUCCAAAGAUGGACGGAUGCUUGUUGAAUCCGCUUUAGUUGAUGUUUCAGACCAAACCAAAAAUAAAAAAAUCUGAUUAAGGUAAAAUUUAGCUAACAAAACUACCCUUUCUUAUUUUAGGAGCUGGAAGAUCGAAUUGCAGCUUUCAAAUUAGAAUGGCAAAAAAUUAUGCCGCACUUGAUGCAAAUAAGACAUAUAUUGAUUAGCUUUCUCUUGGCAUAUUUCUUUCCUCCAUAUAUUGAUUGUGCCACACUAACUAACUAAGAGUUUCUUUUGUUAAUCAAAAGAUGGGGCAGCAAACUGAACAGGUAACAACAACAUCAACAGAACAAUCAUGCAGGCAAAUUUUCAAUGACCCCCCAACAAAAAAACUUUCCAUCAUCGCAUAUUUUGCAAGUCUCAAUCUGUUAUUAGGAGUGCAAAACCGUAACAAGAUACUCUUAAGUGCAGUCAUUUCGCUGAAGAUCAUCUCGAGCUCGUCAAAGACGACUCUUCAUGGAGACAACUCUCAAAUUACCACGUUUAAUGCUGUGGUCUGCCAUCAACCUUAGCAGCCUGAGCCUCCUUAGAUACCAGUCUUGAUGGCUUUAACCAAAGAGUCCUUCUCCAAUGCCUCAAAUGUCUUUCUGCUGAUUCCAAAACAUCCUAUGCUAAUUAGUAUCACAUUCAUCGCAAGUGACAAUCCUGUUGGCUGCUCUGUUCAAUGCACUCGCACUUGCAUUCUCCCUUUUGUGUCUUUAUUUAUAGUUCUCGUUAUAUGUACAUAUACAUUAUAUAUAUAUAUAUUAUAUAUAUGCUAUGCAUAUGGUUUUGCCAGUUUCUCUGAAUUUCUUCUGCCACCCCACAGGAAACCGAGGAAAAUUCAUGCGACCAAGGCCUGAGUUUCGUAUCCUGGCAACUUGUGAGAUGCAAUCGUGAGGCCAGUAUAUGGUCCAAUCCAGCACGUCAAUGUCAUUUCUAGUGUGAUUGAGUCUAUCAAAAUCUUAACUCCACAUAUUAUUGCCAGGUGGAUUUGCCGAUCAGCAUAACCGAACUAGGACACAGACCUGGUCUUAGCUGAGUUGAGUAAAUGGUCUUACCCCGUCAAACUAAAAUCCUAGCUAGUUUUUCAUUCGCGAUUGGAAAGCCGGACAUCCCCUUUCCUAACAUACUCCAUCAAUGUCCCUCCAAAUAACAGCCUGAUUGCUUCUGGCUAGCAAAAACUCUCGACUGGGGAUUUUAUAUAGUUAUCUGGUUGCUGAAAAUGCAAAUGCCAAGUUUAUGAAUGUCAUUAUCCUCUUACGUUACGUUCAUCAUCAUCCUUCGGUGAAUAUUUUUGUUGGCAUUGAAAACAUGGUAUCAGAUAACUACGACCCUCUUGAAUUAUCAAGAGCAGCUUAGCUCAAUGUAGCCAGAAAACGAUGAUGCACAGUUUGGGAGUGUGUAAAAUUCCAAUUAGCUGAAGUAUUAAAUCAUGUGACAUACCCAUCGGGACAUGUGUUAAUUGAGGACAUGACAACUGCUCAAAGUUUCAUGUCCCAGCAGGGGAAGAAGGAAGCUACGUGACGCCUAUCUCGGCGUCUUAGGUGAAUUUUCUCUCAAGUUUUCCCUUUCAGAAUUUGAGUGAAACUCUCUAAUGAAGCUAUGUGAUCAAAGUACUCUUUUGCAAAGAUCACUUAAACUAAAACCUGAUUGCAAAAGCGUAAACAUAAAUAGUUUUCAUGUCAUAGAGCAAUUGAGAUUCACAGUUCCUUUCCUUGACAAACUCAGACUUAAACUUGUGAUCAAACUAUUCUUGUUGCAAACAAGAGUAUGUGAUCAAACUAUUCUUGUUUCAAACAUCACAUGAACAAAAACCAGAUUGCAAAAUCCUAAACAUUAGUAUCCGUUCAAAUCGCAAAGCAAUUGACAUUCAAAACUUCUUUCCUUGCCUAGCUAUUACUUGACUGUGCCACAGCGUCCAUCAAAGGGAAAACUAACACAGAAUCCAGAAACGAAAGAACAAGAACAGAUCAAACGACUGAUGAUCGAUCCAUCCAUAUUGAUCGGUUGAGAGAGAGAAUGCCUUAGACAGAGCAUCAAAUUGGAUAAUGACAGGUUGAAUCCAUCAUAAGGAGCUUUUUAAGUUUAACCAGCGGCAAUAAUUUUAAAUUAUAAUGGUUAGACAGCAUCUUAGAGCAAGUCCAACAGGCCACUCUCUCCUAUAAAAAGAUACUUCAUUCAUCUGCUGAAAGACAUCAGAUACUUCUCAAACCUCCUUUACAACUUCAGUCGUUUUGUAUAAUACACAAGUUUCCUCAAGAGAGGAAAAAAGAACAUCAACCUCAAGCUCGAUUAAAUAACACAUACAAUGACGAAGUCCUUCAAGGCCUAUGGGAAAGUGGAUUCUCUAGAAAAACAAGCCCUCAAACAAAGAAAUCGUAGAAAGAUGAUCAUUUUACUUCUUUCACUGGUUGUUUUGGUAGCUCUCAUCAUUGGAAUCGUGGUGGGGACUCUUAAUCACAAGAAGAACAAGAAUGGUGAUGAUGCUCUUUCUUCAACUCCAAACUCAGCUCAAUCAAUAAAAGCAGUCUGCAGUGUAGCAACUUAUCCAAAAUCAUGUUACAGUAGCCUUUCACCAUUCGGGACUUCAAAUUCCACAAUUGACCCGGAAAAGCUCUUCCAUCUUUCUUUGCAAGUCGUCCACGACUCCCUGGAGAAGCUCUCCACUCUGCCUCAGGAAUGGAUAAACAAUACUGAUGACCCUGAAGUCAAGAAGGCUUUGGGUGUAUGCCAAACGGUAUUUGAUGAAGCAGUUGAUGCCGUCAAUGAAUCUAUCUUAUCCUUAAACGUGAUCGACAGCAACAAAGUAUUCUCCGUGAAGAGAAUCCAUGAUCUCAAGACUUGGCUGAGCACCUCCCUUACCGAUCUAGAGACAUGCUUGGAUACUCUGGAAGAAGUUAAUGCUACAAUCUUGGAAGACGUGAGAACAGCAAUGAAGAACUCAACCGAAUUUGCCAGCAACAGUUUGGCAAUAGUCUCGAAACUCGUUGAAAUUCUCAGCGACUUUCAAAUCCCAGUUAAUAGGAAGUUGCUAGGGGAGACAGGAAGAAGUUCAGGUUUUCCCCAUUGGGUUAGAGCAGCUGACAGGAGGCUGCUUCAAACGUCUAAGGAUCCACAGCCUGAUCUGGUCGUGGCCCUGGACGGCAGUGGAGAUUAUAGGACAAUCAAUGAGGCGGUGGCAAGGAUUCCGAUAAACAGUAAAACAAGGUUUGUGAUCUAUGUUAAGGCCGGUGUUUAUAAGGAGAAGGUGAUAUUGGACAAGCCCUUGUGGAAUGUGAUGAUGUAUGGAGAUGGCAAGACCGAGACCAUUGUUACCUUCGACGACAAUUAUGUUGAUGGAACCCGAACUUUCGACACGCCUACAUUCGGUGAGUACUCUUCGUCCAUAUAUAAACCUCUGUUGAUUUUGAGUACUUUUUGUCAUUUAUAACUGUGUAGCUGACAUUGGUUCAUGUUUACUACCAGCUGUGACGGGGAAAAAUUUCAUAGCAAAGAACAUGGGAUUCAAGAACACAGCUGGACCAGAAAAGGAGCAGGCCGUGGCAGUGCGGUCCGGCUCCGACCAAUCUGUUUUCCAUCAGUGUUCUUUUGAUGGCUUCCAAGAUACCCUUUAUUCACACACCAAUCGCCAAUUCUACAGCAAAUGCGACAUCAUUGGGACAGUAGACUUCAUAUUUGGUAAUGCUGCGGUUGUUUUUCAGGACUGCAACAUUUUGCCCAGACAGCCACUUCCGGAUCAAUUUGUAACCAUAACGGCUCAAGGAAAGAAGGAUCCCAAUCAGAACACAGGCAUUAGUAUUCAAAGCUGUGUCGUGAUUCCGCUGGACAACGUCACAGUUCCAGUCUUCCUCGGCAGGCCCUGGAAGAAUUACUCCACCACUAUAAUCAUGCAAACUAAAAUUGGCGGCUUGUUGAGUCCGGGGGUUGGAUAGAGUGGUUCCGAAAUGUGGAGCCACCCAGCACCAUUUUCUACGCCGAGUACCAAAACACGGGUGCAGGAGCAAGCGUCGCCAACAGGGUCAAAUGGGCAGGCUACAGGCCCACUCUCACACCCAAACAAGCUUCUAAUUUCGCUAUAGGACCAUUUCUAGAUGGCCAAGAUUGGAUACCGGCAUCACAGGUGACCUUUACGUAGAUGACAAAAGUAAAUCUCCAUAGAUUGCAGAUUGGAACGUCUUCAUCAUUCAGUAAAAUCAGCACACGGAAGAGACGGCAGUGGUCAUCAAAUAGAAGGAUGGCAUACCAUCAUUCCAGCUUUGCUUCUUGUAUUCUUCAUUUUGUUUCCUACUUUUGAUUUUUUAUUUAUGAAAAUGUUUUGCUUCUCCUGUACAAUUAAUUCUUUAGGAGGAGUGUUUUAUCUCUGUCUUGCCCGUUGGACCAAUUUGUGAGAAAAUGCAUCGAGCCUUUUGUCUGGAAAGUAAGUUGGAGGGGUCUGUUGGUCCAUUGCUGGGCCUAAUCUGAAACAAGAAGUCUCCACUCCCAGAAUAUCAGAAUUAGAAUAGGAAAGCAUCGAUUCUCAUAGAAGUCUCCACUCCCAGAUGUGAUCGUCAAAUUAUUUCCAACUUCCAAAUGGCCCUUCACAUAGUCCGUUGCAAAUACUACUAGUAGUACUAAAAUUUGAAAGCAUCAAGUUAAUCAGAUUAUGUCAACGCUGGGUGGGCAGACGGAUAAAUGAAAGUUUCAAGAAGAUAAACGGAGGGGAUUAUGCAUUAUAGUUCUAGGCUUCUGCAGUAUCAAAAAAAAAAAUUUUUUUUUUGGGGUGAAAAUCAGACCAGUACUAGAGUAGUAGAUGAAUGAUUACUAGUAGGAAAAACUGUCCGUCAAAUUACAAUCUUUGAUGCAGGUGAUUUACCACUUGCGCCGUCGGCAUCAGCAGCGGGGAGGGCUGGGCUGGUUACUUCGCCGUAGAUAGCCUUAAGCUUGGAAAGAGGAACUAAGGGCCCCCCUGCUGCUCUAGAAGAAUUCUUGGACCCCGCGGCAGCAGCCUCCUCAGCCUCGGCAAAGAGUUGCUUCUUCCAGUCCCAAAUAGUAGCCUUGAUGGCUUUAUUGGAUUUGACCAAAGACUCCUUCUCUGCCUCCAAUGCCUCAAUAUCCCUCUGCUGCCUCAUCGACCGAACUCCCAGCGCCCCAAAGCACCCAAUUAGAAACACAUUCAUCAAUCCAUUGCUGUUUGCUGCUCUGUUCAGUGCCUCCGCUGCUCUCUCCAUUUCCACAACUCACUAAAAUCGACCGCCACCCUUUUCUUUCUUCUGUUUUUUUUUUCUUGCUGUUUUUAUCUCGACGGCAGGCAGAUUUAAAUUUUUUUUUAAUAUAUAUAUAUAUAUAUAUAUAUAAUAUAUAUAUAUAUAUAUAUAUAUAUAUACGGGACGACGAGGGCAAUGGGAAUUAGGAAUACAUCAAAAGAGCAAACUUUUAUUCAAUACCAUUCCUUCUUUUCUUUAUCAAGAAUUUAAUUUCGAUAUGGAAGGAAAAAGGGAAUAAGGAUACUCACGAUGAUGGAGGCUUUCAAUCCUGUGAUUCUUCUGCUCUAGAUUGAAGAAGCCCAGAUCCGAAGAAAGCCAGGAACUCAGAAGGGAAACGGAAUUGGGGAAGGAGGCGAAAAGGGCCACUGUAGACGGAGCUGCGAAGAGACGGGUUUCGGCUCUGGGUUUUUUGUGCGUUGGACUUGGGUUAAUUAGCAUCAGGAGAAUUUUUUUCCCUACUUACGAAAAUGAUACUACUACUAGUAGGGAAAUGCCAAAAGGGCAAAAACAAAAAAAAGGGUCAAUUUAAUUUUUCAUAAUAAUUGAUCCCAUGCUCUUUUAAGUUUUAGUACUACGUUGGUUUUCACUUUUUUUUUUUUUCCGAAACGUUAGUUUGCUUGCAUUGAACUAUAAAAAAGAGUUAACAAAUCGAGCAAAGGCCCGAACAUAUGUACAUCACGUGCUCAUUGACACGGAGGAACAAGAGCUUCCUCAUCCAACAAAAUGCCUAAGGCAUAUGAGCUAAUAUUAGCACAAACAUCCUUAUCAUCAUAAUUAACUAAGCUAAAGGAGCACACUCGAAACAAAGACUUUAACACAAUAUAUUUUCAAGGAUUGUUGUCAAUCUGCAGUCUGAGGAUUUGCCAAACUUGAGGCGCUUCAGUAGGUCCUUGUUGUGAAUUUGUAUACUGAUGUUGCUCCAAUGUCUGUCCAAAGCUUUGCAUAAAAUCAAUUGAACAGCAGCGGCAUCAUCUAUAUUUUGGUCACCCGAGCUUCUGUCUUUUAAGGCCUACAACUCCUUUGCCUCCGUUUGCAUCUUAGAAAUGUCAACUCCAAUUCCCAGCACUGCAUGUUUUUGUGAUCUUCUGGUUGCCAUCUUCAGAAUGAUGAGGUCUUGACUUUGUUGUGCAUGACAGUCCUCUUCCAAAGUCGUCAGUGUUUCUGUUGUACUCCUAGAGUUCUUCAUAGGCUCUAGAUCCUCUAGUUCUAGCCACUCCUUGUGUGCUUUUUGAAUAACACUACACGGAUGGCUGCCAGUAUGAUGCUCAAACUCCCUCUUAUUUCUGUCCUUCCAUAUCUGCCACAGUAUAUUAGCCGUAAGUCCCAUGUGGCUUCUCCCUUCUUGCCUUUUCCUAGCCUCAGUAAUUGUACUCCACCAUCUUUGAAAGUUCCCUGUCUGGUCUUUAGCUCCAUCCCAUAUUAAUGGAGCUACUUUCCAAAUCUUCUGUGCUAGAGGGCAUUGCAGUAAGGUGUGCUCAAUUGUCUCAGGCUCUUCUCCACAUCCUUUACACACUGGAUCCCUUAAUGCAGCUCUCUUGUGUAUAGCCUCUCUGACAGGUAAAUGAUAGGGUGUUAAUUGUUGGUAUUUUUAUUAUUAAUUUUCCCUUCUAUCCCUGACAAAUAUUGUGUUAAUUGCUGAUAUUUACUCAUAUUUGGUAUCGGGACUUAAUUUCAGGAAUGAAGCAGAAAACUACCAAAAAGGAGGGACUUUUUGGAGAAUAUGGAGACUUCUAAGGGAUUCAAUCCUUAGGCCUUGGAUUGGUGGGGACCACAAAGCUAUAAGUCAUUUGGGCUCUUAAAAGAAAGGAACGUAGAGAGACUUGGAAGAAGAAGUAAUUUUGGAGACUUUGUCCACAUGUGUGGGGACCACCGGAGAUAGCUUUUAGUCAUCUUACUUUUGGCUUUUUAAGGAGAGGACGUACAGAAGCAAGGGGGGACCUCUAGUUUAGCUUUUUAGUUUAGUUCUAGUUUCCUUUCUCUGGACUGGCCUCUGACACACGCCAGGUGUUCGACAAUAUUCCCCAACGGGAAAAACAUCUUUUAUUCCUUGCUUUCUAGUAAAAACGCAAUGCCUUUGCAAUCCAGUACUUUUGGCUGCAAUUCAACUAUGAGGAGUGGCUAAUUUCUUCAUCUAGUCAGAGGUUAAAUCGAAGCUUUGGUUCGACAAAACUGUGAGAUCGAAUUGAUUUCCCUACGUUCUUUAAUUUGCAAGUAUUUAUAUAUUUCCUGUUCACUUAUGCAUAUGAUUAUUUCUUGCAAUUAAAUACUUGAUCACUGUUUAAUUGUGUGAGUAAUUAACAGCCAUCUAAGAGUGCUCAAUCCGUAAUUGUUGGGUAAUUUUAGUGCAUGUGGCAAGUGAUAUGAUUCAAUUGUAGUAGAAACUUUUGAGUCGUUGUUGCGGAAAUAUAUGAUAUAGCCUAAAUAAACCGAGCGUGUGUGUUUGUUGGUUAUAAUUGGUGGCCAGUCUAAUGAUUAAUGCUGUCAAUAGGUUAAAUCCUAAGAGCGUGUUUAGGACUGCUUAAUUGGCUAGGGCAAUAACUACAGAGCUUGUUGUGGUUAUCGAAUCAGGAAGGUUAGGCAGGUUGUCAGAGCUUGUUGACAACCAUAACCAGUUUAUUUGUAAAUGAAAGAUUUUAUCUCUGCAUCUGUGAUCAGUGAUUCGAACCAUAAGUGGAGAUUAUACCUUUGACUAGAGAUUUUCCUUCCGUCAAUUUACUUUAUAUUUUUAAUUUGAGCAAUUAAAUUAGACAGUUCCAUAUCAACUUCCCCCAUUUUUAUUUAAUGUUACAUUCAUUCAAAAUAAAUUCCCAAGUCCCUGUGGAUUCGACCCUGCUCGCUGCUAUAUUCGAAUUUUGUCUUUCACGUAAUUAAUACACUUUGGUAUAUCGGAUCAAACAAACUCUGGCACCAGGGUGAAGCUAGUAACCCAUUGCACAGCCUAAGUCCCUGCUCCAGUACCAUAGUGGACUUAAUUCGUGACUUAAGAGUAGGAAUUUUAUUUUUGCUGGUUUGACACCCAACAAAUUUUGGCGCCGUUGCCGGGGACUUGGUGUCAAAAUAAAUUUAUUUUCUUUGAAUUUUAUUUUCUUUGUUUAUUUUUAUUUUUAUUUUUUUUUUUACUGGUUUAUGCCUAGAUCUUCUCGUACAGGUGAACUGCAAUAUAAUCCUGAGAUAGAGAAGACUGCUCGUGCAUUGAGAAAAGCAACAAGAGAACGAGCAGAGGCAUCCUCCUCAUCUACUGGACAUAAUUCAGUAGUAGAUUUUGUGGAUUCAUUUAGUGAGACGGAAGAGAUAAAUAGCACCAUGGCUAAUGAACGGACAUUGAGAGAAUUGGCUGCACCAGAUUUAAAUCAACAGCCCCUAUGCAUUACUUAUCCUACAUUAGAGGUUGCAUUUGAGUUAAAAUCUGGACUAAUCCAUUUACUUCCUUCUUUUCAUGGCUUACCAGGUGAAGAUCCCCACAAGCAUCUCAAAGAAUUCCAUGUGGUUUGCUCGACAAUGAAACCCCAGGGAGUCACAGAGGAGCAAAUUAAAUUAAGAGCCUUUCCAUUUUCCUUAGCCGAUAAAGCUAAGGAUUGGCUCUAUUAUCUGCCCUCUGGGUCAAUAUCCACAUGGACAGACAUGAAGAAGCAUUUUCUAGAAAAAUUCUUUCCUGCAUCCCGAGCUGCAAGCAUUAGGAAAGACAUCUGUGGAAUUCGACAAUUCAAUGGAGAGACUCUACAUGAAUAUUGGGAAAGAUUCAAGCAACUAUGUGCUAGUUGUCCUCAUCAUCAAAUUCCUGACCAACUCCUCAUCCAGUAUUUUUAUGAGGGUCUGUCCCAAACUGACAGAAGAAUUAUUGAUGCUGCCAGUGGGGGCUCCUUAGUGAAUAAAACACCCACGGAGGCAAGAAAUUUGAUAUCGAGUAUGGCUGCAAAUGCUCAACAAUUUGGAGACAGGCAGGAUAACACGACUCGUAGAGUCAAUGAGGUAAGUAAUUCUUCAAUAGAGCAAAGAUUAGAUUGUCUAACUUCUUUGGUUGAAAAGUUAGCUAUAGGACAAAUGCAGCAAUUGAAAACAUGUGGAAUCUGCUAUGGUUCGAGUCAUCCAACAGAUAUGUGCCCCACACUCCAAGAUGAUUCGACUGAGCAGGCUAAUGCAGUUGGAUUUCCAGGACCACCUCAGAGACGGUAUGAUCCCUAUGCAAAUACCUAUAAUCCAGGAUGGAGGGAUCAUCCUAAUUUUAAUUAUGCAGUAAGUCCACCAGGAUUUCCACAACAGUCACAAUAUCAACCUAGACCUCAACUUUCACAGCAACAACCUGCUCCUAAAUCAGGUAUGUCACUUGAGGAUAUUGUGAAAUCUUUGGCUACUAACACUCAACAAUUUCAACAGGAGACGAAAACUAGCAUUCAUAAUUUGGAGAAUCAAAUGAGCCAGUUAGCUUCCACAGUCAAUAGAUUGGAGUCCCAAUUAUCUGGAAAGCUACCUUCGCAGACAAUUGUCAACCCCAAGCAAAAUGCUAGUGCCAUCACAUUAAGAAGUGGCAAAGAGUUGCCUGAGCCGAGCAAGAAAAUUUCUGAACAAGCAAUCGAGGAAGAGCUCGAAAAAGAGGGGAAUGUGUCUCAACCUAGAGCCUUGGAACAACCAGAUUUUGGAGAAAAAUCAACACAAGUGGUUACACCUCCGCCUCCAUUUCCUAGUCGACUGGCAAAGUCCAAAAAGCAAGAGCAAGAACAGGAGAUUUUGGACACUUUUCGAAAAGUUGAGGUAAAUAUCCCUCUUUUAGAUGCAAUUAAGCAAAUUCCUAGAUAUGCUAAAUUUUUGAAGGAGUUAUGCACUGGUAAGAAAAAGUUGAAAGGAAACGAGAAAGUGCAUAUGGGAGAAAAUGUUUCGGCAGUUUUGCAGAAAAAAUUGCCUCCUAAAUGCAAGGACCCAGGUAUGUUUACUGUCCCUUGCAAAAUAGGUAAUAUUAAAAUUGAAAAAGCUAUGUUGGAUUUGGGUGCUUCGAUAAAUGUUAUGCCUCGUUCUAUUUAUAAUUUGAUGAACAUUGGGCCUUUAAAAGAGACGGGCGUAAUAAUUCAACUGGCUGAUCGAUCAAAUGCCUAUCCUGAUGGAGUUUUGGAGGAUAUUUUAGUGCAAAUUGAUAAUUUGAUUUUUCCUGCAGAUUUUUAUGUGCUUGAUAUGGAGGAUGAUAAUUCUAAUUCAUCUCCAAUACUGUUAGGGAGACCAUUUUUGAAAACUGCUAGAACAAAAAUUGAUGUUUUCACUGGCACAUUGACUAUGGAAUUUGAUGGUGAUGUUAUUAAAUUUAGUAUUUAUGAUGCCAUGAAAUAUCCUGGUGAAUCUCAUUCAAUUUUUGUUAUAGAUGUAAUUGAUUCUUUGGCGCAGCAAAAUUUUGAAUUUAAUAAUGACGAUGCGUUGAAGGUUGCUAUUUCUACUGGUCUCUGUCAGGAAAAUUUGCAAAAGAUAAAAGGGAAGUUUGUUUUUCCUUUUGAAUUGCAGGAAGUUAUUUUUGAAUUGAAUUCUCUUUGUCCAGAAUUUUCCAAUGUGUCUUACUUGGAAUUACCUCUGUCUCAUUCACAGCUUUUGCCAUCUAUUGUGCAAGCCCCGAAGGUGGAAUUAAAGCAGUUACCGGAUAAUUUAAAGUAUGCAUUCUUGGGAGAUGGAGAUACACUCCCAGUAAUAAUUUCCAGUAAAUUGACUGCUUUAGAGGAAGAAAAACUAAUUCGGGUGUUGAAGGACCACAAGGAGGCAAUAGGAUGGACAGUGGCUGACAUAAAAGGAUUAAGUCCAGCCACUUGCAUGCAUCGCAUCUUGUUAGAAGAUGGUGCUAAGCCUUCGAGAGAGGCUCAACGGAGAUUGAACCCACCAAUGAUGGAGGUAGUGAAGAAAGAAGUUUUAAAACUUCUUGACACAGGUAUAAUCUAUCCCAUUUCGGAUAGUAAGUGGGUAAGUCCUGUUCAAGUAGUUCCUAAAAAGACAGGAUUACUGUUAUUGAAAAUCCUAAAGGUGAGUUAGUGCCCACUCGAGUUCAAAAUGGGUGGAGAGUUUGUACCGAUUUUAGAAAAUUAAAUGCAUUAACUCGUAAAGAUCAUUUUCAUUGCCUUUUAUUGAUCAGAUGUUGGAAAGGUUGGCAGGAAAAUCUCAUUAUUGCUGUCUUGAUGGUUUUUCAGGUUUUCUACAAAUUCCAGUGGCGCCUGAAGAUCAAGAGAAAACCACAUUUACUUGCCCUUUUGGUACAUUUGCCUAUAGACGAAUGCCUUUUGGUCUUUGUAAUGCGCCUGCUACAUUCCAAAGGUGUAUGGUUAGUAUAUUUUCUGAUUAUGUGGAGAAUAUCAUAGAAGUGUUUAUGGAUGAUUUUACUGUAUGGUAAUUCUUUUGAUGAAUGUUUAACUAACCUCACAAAAAUUCUUAAAAGGUGCAUUGAGACUAAUCUUGUUUUAAAUUAUGAGAAAUGCCAUUUUAUGGUGGACCAAGGCAUAAUUUUAGGCCAUGUGGUAUCUGCAAAAGGAAUUGAGGUAGAUAAGGCUAAGGUAGAAAUUAUCAAAUGUUUACCUUACCCUGCAAGUGUGCGGGAAGUUCGCUCUUUUCUUGGCAUGCAGGUUUUUAUAGGCGUUUCAUCAAAGAUUUUUCAAAGAUAUUCCAUCCUCUAUGCAAAUUACUUCAAAAGGAUGUGGUAUUUCAUUUUGAUGAUAAUUGCAAGAGUGCAUUUGACACGCUCAAGGGAUCAUUGACUUCAGCACCAGUGGUUCGACCACCAAAUGGAGUCUUCCUUUCGAGAUAAUGUGUGAUGCCAGCAAUUUUGCUGUUGGUGCAGUACUUGGCCAGAAGGAGGGCAGAGCUUCUUAUGUAAUUUAUUAUGCCUCGAGGACCUUGGAUGGUGCCCAGUGCAAUUAUUCGACUACGGAAAAGGAGCUUUUAGCUAUUGUUUUUGCUUUAGAAAAAUUCCGUUCUUAUUUACUUGGCACUAAAGUCAUUAUUUAUUCUGACCAUGCAGCUUUGAAAUAUUUGCUCAACAAGAAAGAGGCCAAACCACGACUUAUAAGGUGGAUUCUCCUACUGCAAGAAUUUAAUUUGGAAAUUAAUGACAAAAGGGGUGCCGAAAAUAUGGUUGCUGAUCAUCUCAGUCGUUUGAUCAAUAGUGAAGGACCUGCUCCCUUGAAGGAUAAUUUUCCAGAUGAGCAUCUUUUUGUAGUUCAAAAGACAACUCCCUGGUAUGCUGAUUUAGUGAAUUAUCUGGUUACUAGAACGCUACCUAAUGAUUUGUCUAGAGCUCAAAAGGAAAAAAUUAAAAGUGAUGUUAAAUAUUAUGUGUGGGAUGAACCAUACUUGUGGAAAUAUUGUUCUGAUCAAAUUAUUCGCAGGUGUGUGUCUAAAGAAGAGGUUCCAUCAAUUUUAUCUUUCUGUCACUCAUAUGCGUGUGGUGGACAUUUUGGCCCUAAGCGAACUGCAAGAAAGGUUUUAGAGUGUGGUUUAUUUUGGCCAACUUUGUUUAGUGAUGCAUACUUAUUUUGUAAAUCAUGUGCAAAUUGUCAAAAGACAGGUAAUUUAAGCCAUAGAGAUCAAAUGCCUCUUACUCCUAUACUGGUUUGUGAAAUUUUCGAUAUAUGGGGUAUAGAUUUUAUGGGUCCAUUUCCUUCCUCUUUUGGUAAUAUGUAUAUAUUACUUGCAGUUGAUUAUGUCUCAAAGUGGAUAGAGGCUAAGGCAACUAGGACUGACAAUGCUAAGGUUGUAGUUGAUUUUAUUAAAUCUCAUAUUUUUGUCAGGUAUGGCACGCCAAGAGCAAUUAUCAGUGACCGAGGGACACACUUCUGCAAUCGAGUAAUGGAAGCAUUGUUGAAGAAAUAUGGCGUCACUCACCGGGUUUCUACGUCCUAUCAUCCGCAGACUAGUGGUCAAGCAGAAAUCUCCAAUAAAGAAAUCAAGUCGAUACUUGAAAAGACGGUGAAUCCCAAUAGAAAGGAUUGGAGUUUGCGCUUAGAUGAUGCACUUUGGGCUUACCGUACAGCUUUUAAGACCCCCAUAGGUAUGUCUCCUUACCGAUUAAUUUUUGGCAAACCUUGUCAUCUACCUGUGGAAUUGGAACAUAGGGCAUAUUGGGCAGUUAAAAAUUAUAAUAUGCGGAUGGAUGAAUCUGGAGAACACAGGAAGUUGCAAUUGCAAGAGUUGGAGGAAAUCCGAAAUGAUGCAUAUGAGAGUUCUUGCAUUUAUAAGGAGAAGACAAAAGCAUUACAUGAUAAAGCAAUUUUAAGGAAAAUUUUUUGUAUUGGUCAAAAAGUACUUCUUUUUCACUCUAGACUUAAACUUUUUCCUGGUAAAUUGCGUUCUCGUUGGAUUGGACCUUUUAUUGUGACUAAUGUGUUUCCUCAUGGUGCAGUAGAAAUUCAAAGUCUUCACACUGACAAGAUUUUUAAGGUUAAUGGUCAUCGUCUCAAACCUUUUUAUGAAGGAUUUCAAGUUAAUAAUGUUGAGGAGGUGACCCUUGCAGUGCCUGAACUCUCUGAUUGAAGCAUUAUUUUGUCUAGCCAAAGACAUUAAAGAAAGGCGCUUUUGGGAGGCAACCCAAUUGUUCAUUUUAAUUGUUUGUUCAAUUCCGUGUGGUAGUUUAGAGGUGUUCUCCUUGAAUUCGACUAAUUUUGGGUUUCAGUUUUCGUUUUUGCCGAUUUAUAGGUGCCCUUCAGUUUUGACGUGCCCGCGUGAUGACGUGCAGGAAGCUCACAAUCAGAAUCGUCCGAAAGCCACCGUGAUACGCGACUUAGAAAACGCGAGUUGAAGGCGCGUUUUUAGUCGCGUUUUCAUUCCUGCAAGAUUCGUGCAGAAAACGCGACUUACGAAAACGCGAGUUGAAGGCGCGUUUUCAUUCCGCAAGAUUUGUGAAGGAAACGCGACUUAUAAAACGCGAGUUGAAGGCGCGUUUUUAAUCGCGUUUUCAUUCCUGCGAGAUUUGUGCAUAAAACGCGACUUAGAAAACGCGAGUUGAAGGCGCGUUUUCAUUCCUGCAAGAUUUGUGAAGGAAACGCGACUUAUAAAACGCGAGUUGAAGGCGUGUUUUCAAUCGCGUUUUAUGUGUCCCAACAAAGGCUUCAGAAACGCGAUUUCAGCUCAUUUCUUCCUCUCUUCUUAGUUUUCCAGGUUCAGACUUUGGAGGCUCGCAUGGUCAACGUCGAUGCCAAUGUCGCCGGCAUGGCACAGGAUUUGGCGCAGUUUCUGUUUCUUACAGGCUUUGCACCUCCGUUUCCACCUCGCCCUUCACUAUGCCCCGAUUUCAGGGAAGUGUGGUUGCUUUCCCUCUCACUUUUGCUUUUUAUUUGUCACAUUGAGGACAAUGUAGGAUUUAGGUGUGGGGGGAGCAGUUAUGGUGCUAGUGUCUUUCAUUCAUUUUCUUUUUCUUCUUUUUAGUGAUUAGCUCGUAUGUGAUGCCAAGUUUGAUGUUGGAUUGUUGCCUCUAUUUCUGCUAUUGCCAAGUUUUAAUAAUAAAAGGGUACCAAGUUAAUGUGGUUGAAUCCAAAAACAUCUCUUUGGUGAAUAUCAAUGAUUGUUUUACUCUUAUAAUUUUUGGUUAACUUUCCUAGGCAUAGGGAAUGAUUAUUGGCAUUUUCGUGUGAAUUGGUCCGGUUAUUAACUUUAGUUCUCCAUGUUUGAAAAUGAGGCUAGCUGAUGCAAGUUUUCUUUUGGUUUUUGUGUUAUAUUGAGUUUUUGUGAUUUUUAACUAUGAAUAAACUUGACUGUACUCCGCUAUUAGUUACUACUGAGUAACCGGGGAUCUGCACCUAAAAGUGUUGAUUCUCGCGUCAAAAGGUAGUAACUUCUAUGAGUACGUGGUCACGUGGCGAUAGAAGCUGAGUAACCGGGCUCCUUCAUCUGGCCAAUGUUGGAGUUCGCGUCAAAAGGCUCAAAUGGCUAGUGACUAAGUAUAUUGUUACUUAUGCAAAAAAAAAAAAAAAAAAAAAAAAGAGAAAAGUAGAAAAAAUGUGAAAAAAAGUGAAGGUUGUGUUAGUGUGUAAUAAAAGUCAGCUUGCCGAAUUAUGGAUUUAAUGUUGAGAUUUUGAUUAAUAGUUGGACCAUUUGCUGAUAACUGUUGUGUGUCAUUCCUUUUUCUUAGAUUAGUUAACCUGGAAUUAGAGGCAUUUGUGGUUUAGAAGCUAACCGGAGUGAUGUUUCUUGGACUUGACCAUUGAUGCUUGAAUAUUAUUUUUCUUGGUAUCUUGGCAAUUUGUUGGAUAGAGCAAUAGCCACUAUCAAAUAUUGGUGUUUGUUUCUUGUUCUCAUGCUUGAGGACAAGCAUGGUUUAGGUGUGGGGGGAAUUGAUAGGGUGUUAAUUGUUGGUAUUUUUAUUAUUAAUUUUCCCUUCUAUCCCUGACAAAUAUUGUGUUAAUUGCUGAUAUUUACUCAUAUUUGGUAUCGGGACUUAAUUUCAGGAAUGAAGCAGAAAACUACCAAAAAGGAGGGAUUUUAUGGAGAAUAUGGAGACUUCUAAGGGAUUCAAUCCUUAGGCCUUGGAUUGGUGGGGACCACAAAGCUAUAAGUCAUUUGGGCUCUUAAAAGAAAGGAACGUAGAGAGACUUGGAAGAAGAAGUAAUUUUGGAGACUUUGUCCACAUGUGUGGGGACCACCGGAGAUAGCUUUUAGUCAUCUUACUUUUGGCUUUUUAAGGAGAGGACGUACAGAAGCAAGGGGGGACCUCUAGUUUAGCUUUUUAGUUUAGUUCUAGUUUCCUUUCUCUGGACUGGCCUCUGACACACGCCAGGUGUUCGACAAUAUUCCCCAACGGGAAAAACAUCUUUUAUUCCUUGCUUUCUAGUAAAAACGCAAUGCCUUUGCAAUCCAGUACUUUUGGCUGCAAUUCAACUAUGAGGAGUGGCUAAUUUCUUCAUCUAGUCAGAGGUUAAAUCGAAGCUUUGGUUCGACAAAACUGUGAGAUCGAAUUGAUUUCCUUACGUUCUUUAAUUUGCAAGUAUUUAUAUAUUUCCUGUUCACUUAUGCAUAUGAUUAUUUCUUGCAAUUAAAUACUUGAUCACUGUUUAAUUGUGUGAGUAAUUAACCGCCAUCUAAGAGUGCUCAAUCCGUAAUUGUUGGGUAAUUUUAGUGCAUGUGGCAAGUGAUAUGAUUCAAUUGUAGUAGAAACUUUUGAGUCGUUGUUGCGGAAAUAUAUGAUAUAGCCUAAAUAAACCGAGCGUGUGUGUUUGUUGGUUAUAAUUGGUGGCCAGUCUAAUGAUUAAUGCUGUCAAUAGGUUAAAUCCUAAGAGCGUGUUUAGGACUGCUUAAUUGGCUAGGGCAAUAACUACAGAGUUUGUUGUGGUUAUCGAAUCAGGAAGGUUAGGCAGGUUGUCAGAGCUUGUUGACAACCAUAACCAGUUUAUUUGUAAAUGAAAGAUUUUAUCUCUGCAUCUGUGAUCAGUGAUUCGAACCAUAAGUGGAGAUUAUACCUUUGACUAGAGAUUUUCCUUCCGUCAAUUUACUUUAUAUUUUUAAUUUGAGCAAUUAAAUUAGACAGUUCCAUAUCAACUCCCCCAAUUUUUAUUUAAUGUUACAUUCAUUCAAAAUAAAUUCCCAAGUCCCUGUGGAUUCGACCCUGCUCGCUGCUAUAUUCGAAUUUUGUCUUUCACGUAAUUAAUAUACUUUGGUAUAUCGGAUCAAGCAAACUCUGGCACCAGGGUGAAGCUAGUAACCCAUUGCACAGCCUAAGUCCCUGCUCCAGUACCAUAGUGGACUUAAUUCGUGACUUAAGAGUAGGAAUUUUAUUUUUGUUGGUUUGACACCCAACAGUAAAACACCAUUGAUACACUUCCAAAUGAAGAUUUUAAAUUUAUGCUUGAUAUUGAGCUUCCACAGAGUGUUCCAAAGAUGUUUGUUUUGGAUACCACCAGCAUCAAGGCUUGUUCCUGCAUUCUCCAUAUUUGUUUUUGUGCCUGAACUAUCUUCCAUUAAUCUCUUGUAGCCUGAUCUUACUGUGUACACACCCCCUUCACUGUAUUUCCAAUAAUUAGAAUCUGCUCUACCAGCUAGACUUAUUGGAAUACUGAGUAUACUUUCUGCAUCAGAUUUGUUGAAGAGUCUAAAGAUUAUAUUUGUGUUCCAUCUUCUGUUGGUGAUGAGUUGUUGGACUGUGUCAUACUCACAGUUUUGGGGUCUUGGAGUAGAAGGCCUGCCAUUCGGGGCUUUUGGUAUCCACUUGUGAUCCCAUAUUUUAGUGCUGCUCCCGUCACCAAUUCUCCGCAGUACACCUUCUUCCACCAUCUCCCUCACACUUAUCAGGUCUUUCCAAAACCAAGACGCACAACCUUGCACUUUGCAAUUAAAGAUAGACCCCUUAGGAAAAUAUUUGGCUUUCAGAACCUUGCUCAUAAGUAGAUUAGGCUUGGUGAUUAUCCUCCAGAUCUGUUUACCUAAUAGAGCUUUGUUGAAGGCCUCCAAAUCCUUGAACCCCAGUCCCCCUUCCUUUCUGUCCCUAGCCAUUUUCGCCAAGAAAUCCAGUGCAUUUUGUUUUUCCCAUUAGCUUCCCCCCACCAGUAGUUUGCCAUAGCUGAACUGAGAUCCUUACAAAGUUUCCUUGGCAAUUUGAAGCACGACAUAAUAUAUGUGGGCAUUGCCAUUGUGACAGCUUUAAUCAUAACUUCCUUUCCUGCAUUGCUUAACAGCUUAUUCUUCCAGCCUUCCAAUCUUCUAUUGAUGUUUUCUCUUAUGUAUCGAAGAUUUGGUCCUUUGUCCUUGAAAUCACCAUGGGUAGACCAAGAUACUUUCCUUGCUUUACUUCUUCCAUACCCCCUAGUAUACUGCAAAUCUCACUUUUCUGCCUUCUCUCUACAUUCUUGCUAAAGAUCACAGAUGACUUCUCUAAGUUGAUCAAUUGUCCAGAAGCUUGUUCAUACACCUUUAAGAUUCUCAUGAUUUCUUCAGCUUGCUGCUUAUCAACUCCAUAGAAAAUGAGUGAGUCAUCCGCAAAGAAAAAGAUGAGUAAUAUUUGGUCCCUGCCUACUAAUUUUCACGCCUUUCAAGCUCCUAUCCUCAACAGAUCUUUGGAGUAAGUUUGAGAACCCUUCAGAGCAAAUCAAAAAAGAUAAGGUGACAGUGGAUCACCCUGUCUUAUCCCUCUACCUGGCUUCACAUAUCUUUUUACCUCCCCAUUGCAGUUGAAAGAGUAUGAAACAGUCUCUAUGCAUCUUGCAAUCCAGUAUACCCAUUUUUCACAAAAACCCAUUUUAAGCAUCAUAGCUUUCAAGAAGUGCCAUUCCACCCUAUCGUAAGCUUUAGCCAUGUCUAACUUGAUAGCCAUAUACCCUUCUUUCCCAAGCCUUUUGUUUUUCAGAUAUUGCAUGUAUUCCUGAGCUAUAAUUACAUUAUCAAGAAUUUGCCUAUCCGGGAUGAAGGCAGACUGAUUUUUACUGAUGCAUUUGUCAAGAACUGUUUCAAUCUGAUGCAUUUUACUGAUGCAUUUGUCAAGAACUGAUUUUUACUACGUUGGUUUUCACAAUCUCACAAUUUGUUGUAUUUGCUUUCUCUGAUGGUUGGUCAAGUAACAAAAUAUUUCUCUUUGGAUUAUUGGCACUUUUCCUAUCCUUUAAUUCCAUGACCUCAUUGAUUUUGAAUCCCAAGUCCUCUACAAUAAAUGCAGAUCACAGUUGCCACUAGGUAUUAAACACAAAUUGACCAAGUAACAACCUCAAACUAUGAACAUUCUUUCAUGGUCUUGAUAUUGGCAAUGUGGGAAAAUAUGGAACUCUUUUUUGUACUCUGGCAGUUGAAACAAAUUAACGGCGCAUUCCUUAGGAGGUAUGGAUUGCACCAAGCCACCAACGACUAGGAGCGCUAGUGAUUGUAGAAAUUGUUCCCCCUCUCCUCCUCCUCCUUUUGAUGAAGGGAAAGAAAUUUUUAGUUAUCUCUUUGGAAAAAUAGACUUAACUCUACAAUUUUACAGAAAGCAACUAGUGUUCCUGCAUAAUUUUAUUAGAGAAAAUUUACACAUUUAGCAACUCAAAUCUCGACCCUUGCAUCCGCCACUGCAAAUGCCUCUCUUUCAUAUGUUUUUCUUAGUUUAUGGUAUGAACUGCAAUUUCAAGCUCGAAUACCUAAAAAUACGCUUUGCAAAUCGCGUAAAGUAAAGGCUUGAAAAUAUUAGCUUACUGAAAUUUUAUUUAAGUAUACUAAAUGUUACUACUUGAGAUUCUACACUCCCUAGAAGCACGUUAAGUUAAGCAGAUACUAUGAUUGUAGAUUUAGAGGGCAAUCCAUUAAUAAUCGGCCAUUUUUUGAUCUUUAAGAACAACUUGAUGAAUUUAGUAUAUCUUUUAGGAGGCCCCUAAUAACACUAUAGAUCGAACCUAUCCAAUUUUUACAGCACGAUGGUUGGCUGUCCACAAUCUAAUCCAAUUAAGCACUUUUAGCAAAAGAACUAAAAUUGCUUUGUUUACGGUCGUAACUCUAUCAGAAUUAUAGACCCAUCUAAGCCGUUCGUUGCAUAUAGAUGGCAACUAGCUACCAUUUUAUUCGGUAAACCACCGUGCCCACCUAAAUAAUCUCACCUAUCUAUCCCUACCCUUGAUCUUCCUUGGUUGCCCCUUCUUUUCUCCUCCAGUUCCAUUUUCCAUUCUAUUCCUUUUUUUUUGUCAAUUAUCCGUUGGUUUUGAUAUUAAGGGAGAUAUGCUUGGAAAAAGUUUAGAAAAACCUAGUUGAACGUCUAGAUUAUUAUUUGGUAUGAAGUUAGCGAAGAUAAAAAUUCAGAAAAAGAAAAAAAUUCGCCUCUUGAUUACUUUAGUUGUAGGGAAUACCAGAAAGUUAAAAUUUUGAAUCAUUAACAAUUUAAAGGAGGUGACCCAAAAAUGGAAGCAACUUGUUUCUCAAUUUUUGCUAGUUGUAACCAUGGUUGGUUGGCAGCAUAAGUUUUAGACCUUACCAAAAUAUGUACAACUCAGUAGAAAAUCAAUGGUAAAGAUGUUAGAAUAGUUGAGGCAGAAGGCAUUACCAUUCAGAACUGUGUCAUGUCUCCGCUGGACAAACUCACAGCUCCCACUUACCUGGGCAGGCCCUGGAAGCCUUAUUCCACUACCGUAAUCUUGCAAACCAACAUAGGUGCCUUCCUAGCCCCCAAAGGUUGGAUUGAAUGGGUCUUCAAUGUGGAGCCACCCAGCACCAUUUUCUACGGCGAGUACCAAAACACAGGUCCCGGAUCCAGCGUCGCGCAAAGGGUGAAGUGGGCUGGU
rnacentral:lncRNA from 1 species